UACGGAGGAUCCGAGCGUUAUCCGGAUUUAUUGGGUUUAAAGGGUGCGUAGGCGGACGUUUAAGUCAGUGGUGAAAGUUUGCAGCUCAACUGUAAAAUUGCCAUUGAAACUGAAUGUCUUGAGUGCAAAUGAGGUAGGCGGAAUGUGUUGUGUAGCGGUGAAAUGCAUAGAUAUAACACAGAACACCGAUUGCGAAGGCAGCUUACUGGGAUGCAACUGACGCUGAGGCACGAAAGCGUGGGGAUCAAAC
rnacentral:rRNA from 1 species